UCCCGCGAAAAACUCCCGCGUCUACCGCGGC
rnacentral:sRNA from 1 species